rnacentral:sRNA from 1 species
GUUAUGAUGAACUUACAUUAUUUUUGUUCGGAUAUCUCGAUAAAGUUAAGCCUUUCUUUUACAAGUGGUUUUCUUCUAUUGGAUUACAUGAGCAAGAGUAGUAAUAAUAUGUGGGUAAUCCACGAUGGAGGAAUUUUCAUGACACAAGGUACAGUUAAAUGGUUCAACGCAGAAAAAGGUUUCGGUUUCAUCGAAGUUGAAGGUGGAGACGACGUAUUCGUACACUUCUCAGCUAUCCAAGGUGAAGGUUUCAAAUCACUUGAAGAAGGUCAAGCUGUUUCAUUUGAAAUCGAGCAAGGCGCUCGCGGACCUCAAGCUGCAAACGUACAGAAGUAAUAACUGAAGUACAAUAUAGAGGACUCCCUAUGGGGGGUCCUUUUUUG